UUUCUAAUUUAGAUCAAUUUAAAAGAACGUGGCAACAUAGCUUAAACUAUGUCACAUUGGUGUGUGAUGUUACGUAACAUUCCAUCUUACUCUAAAGACGUACAAUAAAAAAAGACAGCAAGCCGGUACCGUAACCGAAAAUCCAUUACUCAUUCCGUACAAAUAUAGACAAUUGUCAAAGGUGCGGAUUAGAAACACAUGCGAACAUUUUUUGAAUUAUGUUAAUUAAAAACCCUAAACCCGAAUACAGGAGGUGGAUAAAAAAGACUGCAAUUGUGUUGUUUGUCGCAGAGGCAGCCGCAUUCACAGCCAGUUACUUUCUUUGGUCUAAAGUGAACACUGAUAGAGAUACGCGACGUUAUUUGCUGGAUAACUAUCCAAGUGCUCUGGAUCUGUACUACAGGACUGGGGAGCUGCUCGAUUCCCAAAACAGAACAAGGCAAAUUGACGCAGCAUACUGGUCACAGGAAAAGAAAAAUUAAUGGCAGACAGGUACAUCAAAUCCUUCUUUUGGUUAAUAACCUGUAGUGGAGUUGGUUAUGGGUUAUUUGCAGUAAUAUCCUCUCAAGAGACUUCCAGAGAGUUGAGGAAGAAUCACACUGAGUCACAAAAGAAGACACAGCAGUUUUUAGAUGUCCUUCAGUCUGCAGCCAAUACCAACAAGCCAAUCUACAGGGAACCACCAAAGGAGGAAUAGUUCCAAUAUGGAUUAUAUAGAAGAAAAACCACAUC